rfam:Punica granatum cultivar Dabenzi scaffold225, whole genome shotgun sequence.
UUGGAAGUGAUGAUUAUUUCCCCAAAUGAUCGACGCUGAUUAUACUGUGCUAUUUCUUUCAUUCCUUGUUAUCGAGGAAUCAAGCCAGAAGUUCUGAUCCUU